CAAGGAAAAUGGUCAAGGAAAAUUUGAUCAAAUUACCAAAGUAAUAUUGACGUAAUAUGACCUAAUGAUAAAGUAGGCGAAAAAAGCAUGUUUGUGUGUCAUCAAGCAGCAUAUCCUCGCCUGCAUCGUGGUUGGUGUUAUAAUGUUCGACGAGCCCCGUGGCAUUACCCUCUCAGGAUCGGCGAAACUUGGUCGGAUUUCUUUACCAGAACUUGUCGUCGUGCAUGGGGAACUACGUGAACGUUCCGCCCGGGGUUUUUGGAUCGUAGAAUGGCUGCGAGGGACCUAUCUUCCGUAUCUCCCGUUCCUUGCUGGGAUAGUUGUAGCCAGAAUUGCUCGUCAUGUGUGCCGUGGCGUCCGGUCCAAAUGGCGCGCUUUAUGUCCACAUGGAAGACUAUUUCGCUAUAGGCCCGAAGGCCCGAAGGCCCCUUCAAUGGACGAAGAAACGAGUGAUUCCAAAGCCCAAUUAGGGCAUGAUUUUGUGGAUGUGCAGAAAUGACCAGUUCACAUGCUCGUCGAUGAGAUGGGGACCCAGGUCCGAGUUCGAAAGCAACUGUCCGGGUUUCACUUGUUUCGUCCCGUAGACAUUUCACUAUGUAACGUAUUAGCUGAAGCUCAGUACAAACAGUAGCUUAUGCGCCACUUCCUCAAAUAAGGAAGACUGCUGAUGCUAUUUUGGGAUCCCGGCUAUGAGACCUUCUUCUAGGGCGAGUCUUUCAAUGGC